GUGUCGGCAUCUAAAGACAGGAUGCAAGACCUUGAAAACUCAUUGAGAACCAAUAUGACAUCAGAUGAAUGGGUGGCCUUUUUUGCAAAAGCAACAGUCUUUUCUGUCUGUCUAAGAUGCGUAAUGAAGUGGAGGAUACAAAACACGCAAAACGGUAUCGGGACAAACAGGAUUGCAAGAGCGGACGAAUAUAGAUAGGAGGAGGCAAUGAAUAAUGCAAAGACAUAUCCAAAGAGACCUAUAAGAGGUUCCAGGAGAGAUCCAAGGGGUCAGCAGGAGGAAAAAGAGCCGUCUACCAACAAAAGUGUUGAUGCUCCGUUUUUUAGGGGACAGGUGUACCCCCACAGAAAUCGCACAAGGAGGGCAGGAUGUCGUCGCCAUCGAUCCCGGAAGAAACAAGCCACAACAUCCACAGAGACAAAUGACUUCCAAAAUGCAGAAAAAGAAAUAAGUUCACAUAACCCGGUGUUACUCAUUGUGAGUUGUGGACACCUACAGGAGAGAUCACUUAUCCAGAUUUUAUCCUUUUCAGUUACCUUAUAAUAUUAAUCGUUACCAUUAUUACAGAGAGACUUUAAUGUGUGUGAAUUGUGAUUGAGCAAGCCAUGGAUGUAUUAACUACUAUCACUAUUGGGUGAAGCACGAUUGCACUUUGGAUGAAGCACUAAGAAAUUUAAGAUCAUCUACACUUCAGGGACAGGGACACCAUCCUUAAAAAAAAAAAGCAAGAGAUCAUCCGGAGCUACUUAUCAAUGGAAGCAAAAUUGCGAUUUAUCCAGACUUCUCGGCAGAGGUCCAACGGAAGAGAGUCAAGUUCAUGAAUGUGAAAAGACGCCUUCGGAACCUACAAAUCCCGUACUCCAUGAUGUAUCCGGCCAAGCUCUGCAUAGUGGCGCAUGGAGAAGUUUGCUUCUUUGACACCCCCCUGGAGGCCUGGAGGCGGCGCAGUGGAUUGACAUUAAUGAGCCUUUGUUGAAGAACUCUGUGGGAUGAGCGUCCUGCCUAUUCUAGUGUUGGAGCACGUGAGAUAUGUCAGAUGUGAUUAGGGACAUGUUUGAUAUGUUCUGUAUAUUAAUGCUUUGUGUAAUGGUCGAUCCUUAUUACUAUCUAUUGUUAUUAUGACCAUCUGUUUAUACACUGAGUUUUAUGUGUAGGGUUCUGAGAUAGUUUUUUGUCACAUAUUGUACUUCAUGACACUGGUAGAGUUAUUACUUUGCAUUUCCCAUAUGUCUACUUCAUGUUUGGGAAUGAUAUUUUAUUUUG